rnacentral:rRNA from 1 species
UACAGGGGGGGCAAGCGUUGUUCGGAAUUACUGGGCGUAAAGGGCUCGUAGGCGGCCAACUAAGUCCGACGUGAAAUCCCCAGGCUUAACCUGGGAACUGCGUCGGAUACUGGAUGGCUUGAAUCCGGGAGAGGGAUGCGGAAUUCCAGGUGUAGCGGUGAAAUGCGUAGAUAUCUGGAGGAACACCGGUGGCGAAGGCGGCAUCCUGGACCGGCAUUGACGCUGAGGAGCGAAAGCCAGGGGAGCAAACGGG